GGGACACGUGGUAUCCUGUCUGAAUAUGGGGGGACCAUCCUCCAAGGCUAAAUACUCCUGACUGACCGAUAGUGAACCAGUACCGUGAGGGAAAGGCGAAAAGAACCCCGGCGAGGGGAGUGAAAAAGAACCUGAAACCGUGUACGUACAAGCAGUGGGAGCACGCUUAGGCGUGUGACUGCGUACCUUUUGUAUAAUGGGUCAGCGACUUAUAUUCUGUAGCAAGGUUAACCGAAUAGGGGAGCCGAAGGGAAACCGAGUCUUAACUGGGCGUUAAGUUGCAGGGUAUAGACCCGAAACCCGGUGAUCUAGCCAUGGGCAGGUUGAAGGUUGGGUAACACUAACUGGAGGACCGAACCGACUAAUGUUGAAAAAUUAGCGGAUGACUUGUGGCUGGGGGUGAAAGGCCAAUCAAACCGGGAGAUAGCUGGUUCUCCCCGAAAGCUAUUUAGGUAGCGCCUCGUGAAUUCAUCUCCGGGGGUAGAGCACUGUUUCGGCAAGGGGGUCAUCCCGACUUACCAACCCGAUGCAAACUGCGAAUACCGGAGAAUGUUAUCACGGGAGACACACGGCGGGUGCUAACGUCCGUCGUGAAGAGGGAAACAACCCAGACCGCCAGCUAAGGUCCCAAAGUCAUGGUUAAGUGGGAAACGAUGUGGGAAGGCCCAGACAGCCAGGAUGUUGGCUUAGAAGCAGCCAUCAUUUAAAGAAAGCGUAAUAGCUCACUGGUCGAGUCGGCCUGCGCGGAAGAUGUAACGGGGCUAAACCAUGCACCGAAGCUGCGGCAGCGACACUAUGUGUUGUUGGGUAGGGGAGCGUUCUGUAAGCCUGUGAAGGUGUGCUGUGAGGCAUGCUGGAGGUAUCAGAAGUGCGAAUGCUGACAUAAGUAACGAUAA
rnacentral:rRNA from 1 species